UACGUAGGGGCCGAGCGUUGUCCGGAGUUACUGGGCGUAAAGCGCGCGCAGGCGGCUCGUCAAGCCUGACGUGAAAGCCCCCGGCUCAACCGGGGAGGGUCGUCGGGGACUGGCGGGCUUGAGGUCGGCAGGGGUUGGUGGAAUUCCCGGUGGUAGUGGUGAAAUGCGUAGAGAUCGGGAGGAACACCUGUGGCGAAGGCGGCUCGCUGGGCCGGUCCUGACGCUGAGACGCGAAGGCGUGGGGAGCGAACGGG
rnacentral:rRNA from 1 species